GAUGAAAGCUGGCGGCGUGCCUAAUACAUGCAAGUCGAGCGGUAAGGCCUCUUCGGAGGUACACGAGCGGCGGACGGCUGAGUAACACGUAGGAACGUACCCCAAAGUGAGGGAUAACUGCUCGAAAGAGUAGCUAAUACCGCAUGUGAUCCACGGAUUAAAGCUUUAUGCGCUUUGGGAACGGCCUGCGUUCGAUUAGCUAGAUGGUAGUGUAAUGGACUACCAUGGCGACGAUCGAUAGCUGGUCUGAGAGGAUGAUCAGCCAGACUGGGACUGAGACACGGCCCAGACUCCUACGGGAGGCAGCAGUAGGGAAUUUUCCACAAUGGGCGAAAGCCUGAUGGAGCAACGCCGCGUGCAGGAUGAAUGCCUUAGGGUUGUAAACUGCUUUUAUUAGUGACGAUUAUGACGGUAACUAAUGAAUAAGGACAUGCUAACUACGUGCCAGCCGCCGCAGUAA
rnacentral:rRNA from 1 species